UACGUAGGCAGCAAGCGUUGUUCGGAUUUACUGGGCGUAAAGGGUGCGUAGGCGGCUUCUUAAGUCUGGUGUGAAAUCUCCCGGCUCAACUGGGAGGGUGCGCCGGAUACUGUGGGGCUUGAGUGUGGGAGAGGAAAGUGGAAUUCCUGGUGUAGCGGUGAAAUGCGUAGAUAUCAGGAGGAACACCGAUGGUGUAAACGGCUGGCUGGACAAAAACUGACGCUGAGGCACGAAAGCGUGGGUAGCAAACAGG
rnacentral:rRNA from 1 species